rnacentral:rRNA from 1 species
GCUCAAUGAAUAAAUUUAAAUAGCUGCAGUAUUUAUAACUGUACAAAGGUAGCAUAAUAAAUAGUUUUUUAAUUAAAAACUUGAAUGAAUGAUUAAAUGAAAAAUUAACUUUAUUUAUUAAAAAAAUUAAAAUUUUUUUUAGAUAAAAAAAUCUAAUUUUAUUAAAUAAACAAAAAGACCCUAAAAACUUUAUAAAUUUAAAAAUUUAUUUAAUUGGGGUAAUUAAAAAAUUAAUUUAAUUUUUAUUAUUUUUAACAAAAAUUAUUGAUUAAAAUAACUUUAUUAAAAAAUUAAAAAAGUUACUUUAGGGAUAACAGUAUAAUUUUUUUUAUUAGAACAAAUAAAUAAAAAAGCUUAUAACCUCGAUGUUGAAUUAAGAUCAAAAUAAAAUGAAAAAAUUUUAAUUUUAAGUCUGUUCGACU